rnacentral:lncRNA from 1 species
UGAGAAAGUACCAUCAGGAGCAAUACGAGUCCUGUCCAUCUCUGAAAACAUGCUGCUGAUGUUGGAUUAAUAGUUAGACAAACAACUAAGAAGAUCAGAAGUAACAUGCUACUUUGGGUGUUGCAAAAUGACUGGACGCUACCUGUCAUCAAACCAUAGUUUACUCUCCACUUCAACAUAAAUCAAUAGCCUGCUUUUACCUCAAUGAUCAGUUGCUGCAGGGGAAAAAAGUAAGCUUCAAUUUAGACGCUGUCAAAUAUAUGGCCAACUUGCCACCUCUCUCUUCUCCUUGUUCCUGGAACAUGUUGCUAAUUGCUAUGGUGUUCCUGCCACACUCU